CUUGCUUUCUUUGCUGGCGACCGGCGCACGGGUGAGUAACACGUAUCCAACCUGCCCUUUACUCGGGGAUAGCCUUUCGAAAGAAGGAUUAAUACCCGAUGGGAUAAUUAUUCCGCAUGGUUUGAUUAUUAAAGGAUUCCGGUAAAGGAUGGGGAUGCGUUCCAUUAGGUUGUUGGUGAGGUAACGGCUCACCAAGCCUUCGAUGGAUAGGGGUUCUGAGAGGAAGGUCCCCCACAUUGGAACUGAGACACGGUCCAA
rnacentral:rRNA from 1 species